rnacentral:rRNA from 1 species
UACAGAGGGUGCGAGCGUUACUCGGAAUUACUGGGCGUAAAGGGCGCGUAGGCGGUUGGAUAAGUCAGCUGUGAAAACCACGGGCUUAACUCGUGGCCUGCAGUUGAGACUGUCUGGCUUGAGUGUGGGAGAGGAGAGUGGAAUUCCUGGUGUAGCGGUGAAAUGCGUAGAUAUCAGGAGGAACACCGGUGGCGAAGGCGGCUCUCUGGACCACAACUGACGCUGAGGCGCGAAAGCUAGGGGAGCAAACAGG